GACAAGCGCGGCCUGUUGAUCCUUUAAGGGUAGGAAAGUCCUGACACCAAAGGGCAACAUAGCGGUUAAUGGCCGUCAUCCGCGAGGAUAGGACAAGUGCAACAGAAAGCAAGUACAGUUCGGCUGUAGUGAAAUCAGGUAAACUCUAUGUGGUGCAAUGCAAUGUAUACCGGCAAUUAAGGGCAGCCCGCCCAAUGCCGUGGGGUAAGCAGCUACAUUGUGUUUGUAACUAUACAGUGAGAUAAAUAACAGGCACCUCUCUUCUAAGGGUGUACAGAAUCCGGCUUAUAUCGCUUGUCUUUUU
rnacentral:RNase_P_RNA from 1 species